AACGAACGCUGGCGGCGUGCCUAACACAUGCAAGUCGAGCGCGAAAGUUCCUUCGGGAAUGAGUAGAGCGGCGGACGGGUGAGUAAUACGUGGGUAAUCUGCCCCCGAGCUCGGGAUAACAGUGCGAAAGCGCUACUAAUACCGGAUAAGACCACAUGACAUAUGUCGUGCGGUAAAAGGUGGCUUUAUUUUCGGAUGAGGCUAUCACUUGAGGAUGAGCCCAUGGCCUAUCAGCUUGUUGGUGAGGUAAAAGCUCACCAAGGCGAUGACGGGUAGCUGGUCUAAGAGGACGACCAGCCACACUGGGACUGAGACACGGCCCAGACUCCUACGGGAGGCAGCAGUGGGGAAUAUUGGGCAAUGGGCGAAAGCCUGACCCAGCGACGCCGUGUGGGCGAUGAAGGCCUUCGGGUUGUAAAGCCCUGUGAGGUGGAAAGAAGGGUCCAGAGGUUAAUACCCUUUGGACUUUGACGGUACCACCAGAGGAAGCACCGGCUAACUCCGUGCCAGCCGCCGCCGUAAGAC
rnacentral:rRNA from 1 species